rnacentral:rRNA from 1 species
UACGUAGGGGGCAAGCGUUGUCCGGAUUUAUUGGGCGUAAAGAGCUUGUAGGCGGUCUGUCGCGUCUGCUGUGAAAAUCCGGGGCUCAACCCCGGACUUGCAGUGGGUACGGGCAGACUAGAGUGUGGUAGGGGAGACUGGAAUUCCUGGUGUAGCGGUGAAAUGCGCAGAUAUCAGGAGGAACACCGGUGGCGAAGGCGGGUCUCUGGGCCGAUACUGACGCUGAGGAGCGAAAGCGUGGGGAGCGAACAGG